GAUGAACGCUGGCGGCGUGCCUAAUACAUGCAAGUCGAGCGAACGGACGAGAAGCUUGCUUCUCUGAUGUUAGCGGCGGACGGGUGAGUAACACGUGGAUAACCUACCUAUAAGACUGGGAUAACUUCGGGAAACCGGAUCUAAUACCGGAUAAUAUUUUGAACCGCAUGGUUCAAAAGUGAAAGACGGUCUUGCUGUCACUUAUAGAUGGAUCCGCGCUGCAUUAGCUAGUUGGUAAGGUAACGGCUUACCAAGGCAACGAUGCAUAGCCGACCUGAGAGGGUGAUCGGCCACACUGGAACUGAGACACGGUCCAGACUCCUACGGGAGGCAGCAGUAGGGAAUCUUCCGCAAUGGGCGAAAGCCUGACGGAGCAACGCCGCGUGAGUGAUGAAGGUCUUCGGAUCGUAAAACUCUGUUAGUAGGGAAGAACAUAUGUGUAAGUAACUGUGCACAUCUUGACGGUACCUAAUCAGAAAGCCACGGCUAACUACGUG
rnacentral:rRNA from 1 species